rnacentral:ribozyme from 1 species
AUACUCUUUUUGUAUUUCCUCUCUUUUUUCUUUUUUCUUUUUUUCGUUUUCUUUUCCAUUUUCUGUCGAUAUGCCCAAGAAGAAAGAGAGACGUCCAAG